AUGGGCAGGGGGCGGCGCGUGGGUCGCAAGUCUGCAGUUAGGGGCGCAGGAGCGGCGCUGCUCACCUCUGGUGCCAAAGGGCGGCGCAGCGGCUGCCGAGCUCGGCAGUGGAGGCGGCGAGAAAAUGGUGCGCAGGUUCUUGGUGACCCUCCGGAUUCGGCGCUCGUGCGGCCCUCCGCGAGUGAGAGUUUUCGAGGUUCACAUCCCGCGGCUCGCGGGGGAGUGGGCAGCGCCAGGGGCACCCUCCGCUGUGGCCCUCGUGCUGAUGCUACUGAGGAGCCAGCGUCUAGGGCAGCAGCCGCAUCCUAGAAGACCAGCCAGAGCUGGCCGCCUCUGCAGACACGCUGAGGGUGCAAGGGACCCGGACCCCAAAGAGCGCCUGAGGACAAGAGAUGAGAUGCUCGCUGCUCUUCCUCCGCUCCUCACCCCUACCAUCCUCCUCCUCGACCCUAAGUUCCCCACUCUCUCAGUUCCUAGAGAUGCUGCGGAUCCCAGAGGCUUAACUGGCAGCUGA